GCUGAAUAAAGCCGUGUCUCAUCUACCUGCUGUCUCCCAAGUGUUCUUCCAGCUCCCUGCCCCUCAUCAACCCACUCUCCUCAGACCUCAGCUGGGGCUUGAACCUGAUAAUUGGUGUAGUCAUCAGGAUGAGCUGUACCCUUCAUCACGAAUUUGAUGGACUGCUUGACAAUGGAACUGGAAGAGUACCACUUUGUGGUGGACUUAGCUAAUGCAGUCUUCUCCAUUGACAUUGCUCCAGAGAGCCAGGAGAAGUUUGUCUUCACGUGGGAAGGAUGACAAUGGACUUUCACCAUGCUGCCACAGGGCUGUGUGCAUAGCCCCACCAUUUGUCCUGGUCUUGUUGCCAUGGAUUUAGCUGCCUGGAAAUGCCCAAAAGGGGUCUGCCUGUUUCAUUACAUUGAUGAUAUGUUAACCUCUGAUUCUCUCACAGAUUUAGAAGUGGUGGUGCCCCUCUUGUGACAGCAUUUGGCAGUGUGCAGUUGGGCCAUCAAUAAAUCCAAGGUCCAAGGGCCGGAAUUGUCUGCCAAAUUCUUGGGAGUUAUUUGCUCAGCUUGGGGGAAGACCUAACUUGAAGAAUGAGGGCUUACCUGUGAAAAUUGAUUGUAUAUUGUCUUUUGGCAGUGAGGAG
rnacentral:lncRNA from 1 species